UCCCUCAAGUUCUUUACCAGUCUAACCUAAGCACAGGUGCUGAAUGGUUAUAAAAGGUGGAAAAUUAAAACUGAAUCUGACUUAAAUUAUUUUGUGACACACAGGGUAGUUUCCAACAAAA
rnacentral:snoRNA from 1 species